CACGUAGGCGGCUUGUUAAGUCAGGGGUGAAAUCCUGGAGCUCAACUCCAGAACUGCCUUUGAUACUGGCGAGCUUGAGUCCGGGAGAGGUGAGUGGAACUGCGAGUGUAGAGGUGAAAUUCGUAGAUAUUCGCAAGAACACCAGUGGCGAGGGCGGCUCACUGGCCCGGUACUGACGCUGAGGUGAAAAGCGUAGGGGAGCAAACA
rnacentral:rRNA from 1 species